rnacentral:rRNA from 1 species
UACAGAGGUCCCGAGCGUUGUUCGGAUUCACUGGGCGUAAAGGGUGCGUAGGCGGUUCUGAAAGUCUGAUGUGAAAUCUCCGGGCCCAACCCGGAAAUGGCAUUAGAAACUGCAGGGCUAGAGGCUUGGAGGGGGAACUGGAAUGCUCGGUGUAGCAGUGAAAUGCGUAGAGAUCGAGCGGAACACCAGUGGCGAAGGCGACUACCUGGCCUGUUUCUUGACGCUGAGGCGCGAAAGCUAGGGGAGCAAACGGG